rnacentral:lncRNA from 1 species
AGGUGACUUAGAAUGGAAGGUUCUUGAAAAAGUAAGAGAUUAUGGACAAAAUGUGACAUUAUUUUGCAAUGUUUCAAACUGCUGCCCAAAAAUUGCAGGAUGGGAUAAGUACACUCCAGUACAACAGACACUAUUCAUAGAUCUUAAAAAAGGACGACCAAAUAAAAAAUAUGACGGAAAGGUUGUAAAGGAUGGAUACACCUUAGUUAUACAAAAUCUGACUAAAGAAGAUCUUAAUGUUUCAUAUGCCUGUGUAUAUGGCUCUACAAUCGGCGAUAAACAAUCCCUACUGGAAGAGAAUGUUUUUAAUUGUAAGUACUAGCUACCACUGAGUAAAUAUGUCGUUUUGAAAAUUUGAUGUGAUUGAAUCAUCACAUCCUGCUACAACACAAGACUGUUUGUCGAGUUUUCUUUAAACAUGCUAAAGAAUACUUUUGGAUUGAAACAAAGGCAGAUGUGGGAUGAUAUAAGAAAAAAACUUCACAUUGACUAACAUAUCAUCAUCAUUUCAAGAUGUUCCCAUUCACUUGAUAAGUCCAGUUAAUAAUAUUUGUAGAAAAUUUUCCAUAAGUUACUUUGGCAGUUUUGUUUUACUGCAAACGCCCCUUUUGUCUUCAUUAGAAACUUCAUAGGUGUGAUGUAUUCUAAACACUCCUACAGUAGAUCAGGCUUUCAUUUGAUACCCGAAACAUGCGUUUCGUCAACACAAGACUAAUUAGUGACGAAUCAAAAAGGUUACACGUCCGAAUCAGUCAUGACGCUGAAGAUCAUUGAAAACCAAACAAUUCCGAAAAGUUAUGACUAAUAAGAGGUGAUGAGGAUAAAUAAGUCAGAAUUUACUGGGAGUCAGCAGAAAUCGAAGACCAAUAUUGUUUUCUUGGACAAUCAGACAGUGUUUCACAGGUCCUGGGAUACCUUACUGUAACUUGGACGGUGGACUAUAAUCAUAAAAGCAAUUCAGAAGAAUAAAGAAAUAUAUAUUUGUUGUGAAAAGAAAAGUUAGCGAUACAAGAUUUACAAACAAAUAAAAAAGACCAAUUUCGUCCGUUGACUUUUAUACAUGCUAGUUUAAGUAUCCUUCGUUGCCGUUUUCAUUGAUUUCUUUGGUGUUUUAAGUUGCUUUUAUCAUGCGAAACUGACCACUUAAAUUAUCAGGAAGAUGUAUAACAUAAUUGAAAACAACUAAAUUGACCAGUUGACUCUUUAUAGCGACAACGGUUGACCAAUGUUUAGGCUUUUGUCAUUUUGUUUUACAUAUUUUAGGAGAGAAUAAAAAUAAUAAAACUAAACUAGGAGAAGAUCGAAGACCUAUAAACGAGGUUGAUUCGUUUCAUAAAUUUUGUUUAAGUAAAUUGGCUGAUGCUGUUGCGAAUGAUUUUAAAAUUGCAUAUUAACACCUGAAGAAGGAUUUAUGGUCUAUAAAGCAUAAACUUAUGUUGAUUCAUGGUACAUUGUAUAAUAUAUUUUGAUACAGACAUAAGUACUACACAACACAAUGGUCCAAUCGAUAACAGAAAUGUUUC